ensembl:lncRNA
AGUCUUUGUGUUCUAAGCCUGUGGUACAGGCAGCAUCACAGCACUGUCUGCACAUGAAGACACAGAGCAGGAUGGAUUUUUACUUCCUUAGGGUCUCGGCGUUCCUCUGCACCUCCUUGGCAGUGGCCUCAAAAGGCCCAUCCGUACAGGUGUCUCAAAGCCCCAGGGUCAUCUCCUUGAUGCGGCUGAACUCCUCUGCAGAGAUCUCCUGCUCAGCCACCGUCCGUCUGCAAGGCGUCGAGCUGUACGGACUCGCUCUGAAGCGCCGAUUUAGCGGGGACAGGUCGGUGCUCUACACGACGAUGAUCCAGAGCGUUCAGACGCUCCAUGACGACUUCAAAGACAGACUCUCCGUCACCGGAGACUGCUGUGACUUCACUAUCAAACUGUCUUCACUGAAGGUGGAAGAUACCGAUGGCUACUACUGCAGUUGGCAGAUAUUGGAUAAGAACGGGGAAUUCCAUAAUCAGGAGAGCAAUUACACAACCAUCAUUGUUCGCGAGCGCGAUCCUGAGGAGCCCUGCAACAGGCCAGGCAAGCAGCUGCACCGUCUGUUCCUUGGACUGAGUGUGGUGGCGUGUGCUGUCAUGUUCCUCAUCUUCACCGGGGCCCUCAUCUGGCGGUGCUCGCUGUCGUCUGUGUCUCCCCAGAGUAAAGGCAGAUACGACACCCAACAAAGCAGUCAGCACGAACUCCAUCAUCAUCAUCGUCGUCGUCCCGCUCCUCCUCCUCCUCCUCCUCCUCAUCAGCAUCAUCACCAUCAUCAUCAUCAUCAUACUCAGCAUCCUCCCCAUCUUCACUCCCACCCACCACAGCCACAAUUACAACAUUGGUCUUCACCACACCAUUAAUGCACACCUAUUCAAGAACAUCAAGAACAAGUGCACACAGUACACAUCUAUAUCACGAAUAUCCUGAGGACAAUUAACUGAGAAAAAUACAUGAUCUGAUAUUAUAUACAUUUCGAAUGCUGUGUGUAUCUGUGUGGUUUGCAAGGGUACACACUGUACCAUAAGGUAUAAUCUUAAACGUAAGUUUGUGGCAGUACUGUAGUGUAAAGAUCAUCAUGCAUUCUGUUACGGGCUAUGCAUUUCUCUUUGAAGUUUACAUCAGGGUUAGGUCAGCACAUUUUUGCAGCUAUGUCUCUCACCACAUCCUCAUCGCACUUUUUGAAAAGGAAGUCAGGCCUUUGACAUUUUUUUCCAAAGCAGAAAAUACGACAUUCAGACAUUAUAUCUCUGAGAUGUAAGCCUAUGUGUGAAAUAUGGCUGCUACAUUUUAAGAAGGGAAACUUUGUAUAGCACUUUUUAUAGUCCAGUUAAAAAUAAAAGUUUUCUUUGUAUUUAAUUUACAAUUGUAGCCUUAAAAUCUACCAGAUAAUAUGUUCUGUAUCAGUUACAAAAACUGUGUGGUCAUUUGUUUUCAAAAGUGGAAGAAACUCAAAAAAAGCUUAGGUCCUCUGGUGUUUUUUUUGCUCAUAACCUGCCGCACUUUCUUGAAACACGCUAAGGUCGAUCUUAAAUGGCACAAGCGUUCUCCUGUAUUCAAUAUUUUUUCGCUUCCUACUGGCAAUGCACCUUUUUUUCCACAGUGGAUGGAUAGGGGAGUUUAUGUUCUUCAAGACUUUUAUGAUGACAAUGGUCUACGAGCUUUCAAUGAUCUGCAAGCUGAAUAGAGUUUGCCUGGCAAAUCAUUGUUCUUUUACUUGCAACUGAGAUCUGCCAUGAAGGCAUAUGGUGUCCCUUGGGGAGUACCGCUCCUAACACACCCUUUGCAUAAAAUACUUUCUGUACAAAGACAGACAUGUGGGAUGGUCUCAAAACUUUAUAAAUUUAUCUCUGAAUCUUGUGCAUCUUUACCAGUAGAAAGUGUAUGGUGUAGGGAACUGCCCUUCUGAGGAUGAGAAAGAUUUGCUGGGACACAAUAUGGGAGAAUCUUCAUGAUACCUCCAAAAACCCUGAUCACCAAUUAAUACAUUUUAAAUGUAUACACAGGAUGUAUCUUACUCCUAGAAAACGUCAUGCCAUGAAAAUCAUCACAUCUCCUAAUUGUGACCUAUGUACACUUGCCUUUCUUACAUAUGUACUGGGAAUGCCCUAAUGUGUUUGUCUUUUGGAGACAUAUAUGCUCCACUUUAAGUGAUAUGCUUGAAGUAAAUAUUCCACUGUCACCAACCUUACUUUUACUUAAUGAUGACUCUACUUUGGAACUGAGUUUACAGCAGAGGCGCAUACUAUGGGCUAGUCUCACCGCAGCAAAGAAAAUGUUGGCCUUGCGAUGGCAGCCGCCUCACACUUUAUCAUGGCAGCGGUGGGCCAACUCAUUCCUAGACAUAGUUAUGAUGGAGAGAUCUGUGGCCCGUGUCCAUGGAGCUAGUCAGAAAACUUUACGUGCAUGGGACGCAGCUUACACUUUGGUUAAAGAAAGAGUGCAGCAUUAGUAGGCCUAUACUUAACUGAAGGUUUUUUUUAUGGAGGG